rnacentral:rRNA from 1 species
UACGAAGGGGGCUAGCGUUGCUCGGAAUCACUGGGCGUAAAGGGUGCGUAGGCGGGUCUUUAAGUCAGGGGUGAAAUCCUGGAGCUCAACUCCAGAACUGCCUUUGAUACUGAAGAUCUUGAGUUCGGGAGAGGUGAGUGGAACUGCGAGUGUAGAGGUGAAAUUCGUAGAUAUUCGGCGGAACACCAGUGGCGAAGGCGACUCACUGGCCCGAUACUGACGCUGAGGCGCGAAAGCGUGGGGAGCAAACAGG